rnacentral:rRNA from 1 species
GGCAAACGGGUGAGUAACACGUGGGUGACCUGCCUUCGAGUGGGGGAUAACGUCCCGAAAGGGACGCUAAUACCGCAUGACAUCCUGCCUUUGAAGAGGCGGAGAUCAAAGCUGGGGAUCGCAAGACCUAGCGCUUGAAGAGGGGCCCGCGUCCGAUUAGCUAGUUGGUGAGGUAAUGGCUCACCAAGGCAACGAUCGGUAGCCGGCCUGAGAGGGCGGACGACCACACUGGGACUGAGACACGGCCCAGACUCCUACGGGAGGCAGCAGUGGGGAAUUGUUCGCAAUGGGCGCAAGCCUGACGACGCAACGCCGCGUGGAGGAUGAAGAUCUUCGGGUCGUAAUCCUGUCGAAUGGGACGAAUGCACCGCGCGUGAACAACGCGUGGUGGUGACGGUGCCGUUAAAGG